CAGCAUGUUCCCAAGGGCUGUGGCUCAUGUAGCCAUGGGCUCUCCAACUGCAUGCAAGAGCAACCUGGAGAGACUUUGACAGCUCAGGUUGCCUCCAUGUUUCCUGGCAGUGUCUGAUAAUGACGUAGCUGAUACGGGCUUGUUGCUGCCCUCUUAGAAUAAGAGCUUUUACCAGUAAACUGUCUUCAUUUGUAAUUCAGGAUCUACAGAGUUGGGAGAGCUCUACAGUAAGAGGCAAGCUAAAAGACAAGUUUGUGAAGGAGAUGGACUGUUCUACUUAAGUAACGAAAAUCUCAGCUUUUCCACGCUCCAAGGCCUGCUGGUUCUUGAAGUAGGCCUUUGCCCACCCCUCAUUGUGGGGCUGGUUCCUUAUCCAUCCUGCCCUGCAGCAUGAAUUGUCUUGUGUGCUACAUUCCCUUAAUAAAUUCUUGAUGUAAAAAA